ACUUAUUAAUUGUACGUUAUAAAGCCAUUAAUUAAGUUGUAUCUACCAAAGAUGUUUGUAGACAGAUAUAUAGUUUCUUUCCAGCACAUAACAAUGCAUUUGCUGAAAACUAUACUAAGCUCAUUGUUAAAACCACAUCUUGGCUGUUAGUAUUACGCAUCACAAAAGAAAUGACCCCCGACCACCGUGGGGCACUACUAGAUGAUGCUUCACUACUCAGAAUACCUCAGGAACCAAAUGGGAGAAACGCUGAUGCAUCGCUACAUAAAAGUGCAGACAACCAGGAGUAACUGUGAUCAGGAACUUGAGCAGCUAACGUCAAGCUUGUCAGAAUCCAUCCUCAUGCUGCUAGUUGAGCUGCGACCACCUCACAGUGAAGACCUUUUGUUGGGGAUUCGCAUCCAUGUUCUUUAAAUGGAAGACACUUACUUGUGUUUUCCCGAGAUCGGCACCUAUAUGGUUAUUAAUGUCCUUAUAUUAGCUGUAAUCUAAGCUGUAAUCUCGUCUUGGUUUUUGUACUAACCAGAGCAAUUAUUGCCUUAAAAUAUGUAUGCCUCUAAUCUGUGCACAUAAAUAUCGGUGCAUAUAAGUUGUAUUGUUUUUGCAGUUGUCAGAUACAAAAGUGUUAUUAUUUCAACAAGUGCGUUCAUCUUAAGUGUUAUAAUAAGUAUAUUGAUUAAUAA
rnacentral:misc_RNA from 1 species